AGACCUGGCACAUAGCCUAGUGUCUGAAUGUCAAACUGAAUGUUAUGACAUUCAUCCUUGACAGCAGAUACUGAAUUAUAGGCAGGUUGGUUUUUCUGCUACAGUUCAGUAUGUAUUUCAGUCUGUUUUUCAGGAGAAUAACAGACCUGGCAUAUGGCCUAUUGUCUAAAUGUCAAACUGAAUGUUAUGACCUUUAUCUCUGACAGCUGAUACUGAAUUAUAGACUGGUUGGUCUUUUACAGUUCAUCAUUUAGUACAGUCUGUUUUUCAGGAGAAUAACA
rnacentral:lncRNA from 1 species